AUUUUUUUGAAAUUCAAAAUAUGUAUAAUAUGAAUUUCAAAAUAGUGGGAGCAUAUGCUCCCAUGUUCCAAAACAUCACUCUCCAGAUAAUAAGCUCACCUAGCUAGGUUGCAUCCAUGCAGCAAGUAAGUGCAGAAUCAGUGCAAUACUGCAGUCUCCACAUGAUCUUCUCUUAUAUAUCCAUCUCCCAUUAUCAACGGAACAAAAUUCCAAGCAACCAUUGUAUAUGUAUACGUGAUGUAAGAUUUUAAAUCUGAAAUAUUGCAAUAUUUAAGUAAAUUGAUUGUUAGAAUAUCAAGGAAGCAAAGAAAAUUCUAUCAUACCAAUCUCCGGCUAAUUAAUCUCCUGCUGUAUUUCCAUGGUCCCGAAUCCAUAAAAUUAUCUUCCACCAAUUAUUAAUGCAUGCGAGCAGUCAAUACCAAUCCUGCACUUCAACGGCACUUGGCAUGCUUAGGCUUAGCAACUAUUUUUUGACAACCUCUACAAUAUUUGGCCCUGAAUUUUCAUUUGUCGUCGCUUGUCCAGCUGCAACCACUUUAAUUUCGCACUAAUGUUCAUCUCAUCCAACACCACCAUGAUGUGUCCAACUGCUGCACCACGAAAGUCCACGUUUUCCAUACUGCUUGACUUCAUCUUUCCACCUUGACUGACACAUUGCCGGCACUCCCCACGCAUCAAAAACUUUGAUGUGUACAUGUUUUGCUUUGUUGUACCAUCUUCUCCAUAUCUAGGAAGAUGCGGUGUACCUCUACCUCUUCGUUGCUGUUAGAAUCGGUCGUCUCUGCCCGGUGCGUGCGCGCUGAGUCGAAAGCCCCUACUACACCUCUUCGCUCACCGUCGCCGACAUAUACGCGAAGAUCAUUGACCCGCUCAGUGAAGCGGCAAAUGCAGCAGCCUGUACCGCAACACGAAUCUUCCAAAUUCCAAAUUCAUUUGCUACUUCAGGUCACCAGCGGUGACCGCAUGUGUCGGCGCCAGGGUCGCAAGCGGCCGUCGUUGGGCUCGUGCUGGCCGUUGAGCUGCCAGAUGCGUUGGCUCGGCGGUGCUGCAAUGAUGUCCAUGGCAAUGGUCUGCCUCGCGGAUAGUGCUCGCGGCGCGGAGCUGUAUAUGAGCAGUGCUGGACCUGCAGAGCUUGUGGUGGCGUUGUCCAGUCGGCAGAGGAACGGAUGGAGGUAAAGGCUUCUCCGGCGUUGCAGCGACUACGGGAAGCGCAAGUGAUAAACGUGGAAGGCGGCGGCGCAGAUUUUCGUCGGGAUCUCGUCCAGUCUCCGGUCGACAGCAGUAGUCCCCGAUUGAUACCUCUCCGCCUGUCCUCUGCUUCUCGUGUUGAUUUUCCCUAUUACGUAGAUUAGAUCGAUCGAGCAUGCCUGGCUGCACUGCGACGUCCGCGCUGAGGUUAGUUGAGAGACGCGAUACCCGUGGUGUCGCAGCUGGAUGAAGGGCCAGGCAGCUAGUGCGUUGUUGCUGCCACCGUUGCCGUGCGUGGCCGACAUGCCCAUGGCUGUAAAUAUCUCUGUUUCAAGGCGAAGCAUCCUUCCAAAUAAGGCAUGUAUAAUAAUAUAUUUCUUAAUCUCAUCAUCCAAAUCAAAAUACAUUAAAGAUUCAGACUGUGAGCUAGAUGAAUACGGUGAGCCGCACUUCUAGCGAUCAUUAUGCCACUCCGGACAGCUCGCACAAAGCAGCAACAUACCGAUGGGCCAUGUAUACGCUCAUAUGAAUAUAAUACAAUCUGCAGAAAGACAAAUCAGUUUACGAUACAACCAUACGAAAAAAAAUCCAUAAUGAGAAUAGAAACUGUUAUAAUCGAUACAACCUGGCCGAGCGAAGCGAGUCUGAAGUUAGCCUCUUAUUGGAAUUUAGAUCACAAUAUAACAGAAACUACAAAGAUGAAAGCAGCUAUAUUUGGGUAGUGCAUGAAACCCAUGUAUACGCUCUUGAUAGAUCCGCAAGAAAAAUCACACAUUCACUUGUCAUUUUUCAAGUCAUAAUAAGAAUUAGCAACAGAGCUAUUCACACAUGAGCCAGUGGUGCAAAAAUGACUUGAUUCCACCAAAACAAAAGAUGUUGUAUAUAAAAUUUACAACAAACAACAUCAAUCUUGUUCCGGUGUUCUCGUUUUGAAGACAUAACUUCUGAAUAUCUUGUCUCUGCAUCAUCAUAUUGGAAGCAAGCAAGGAUGACUUUCACCAUGCACUAUGCCUCUCACUUCCUCUUCUCGCUCAGCUCCGGUCUCAUCCGUUCAGGUAACUCCUCUCGCCGCCACUCGGCUCGACGCGCGGCUGGCUGGAGCCGGUCUUGAAUGCACCCUCCGCGACGCCGGAGACAAACUCUAUAGGGCGGCGCAGGCGGCCAGAAGCCAGGUCGAUGUAUAUAGACAAUGGCGAGAAUACCAGGCUGUUAGCUCGAUGUAGAUGGCGUGAUGUGCAGCAGCGAGAACACCAGAUUGAUGUAUGAACGAGGAGCCUCGCGUAGUCGUUAAAUGCUGGAAGACCGCCGGAGUGGGACUGUGGAGGAUUCCUCGCCAGAGACUGGAUUUUCAGAGCAGGUGCGCCUUCCGCACUUUUUUUUGAGGCACUCUUAUACAAACCACACUGAACCACCAAACUAAACAACACCCCCUCCAAGCUCAAGGGCAGUUUAGGACCUGAAAACCAGCGCCAUCACCCACCAGGAUUAGAUCAUUCGCCUCCAGCGUCCUCCUCAAAUCCUCGGCAGUGCCCGGCCCAAAUCCUCUUGUGUUGUUCAUAUCACAGACCUCCAAAGUUGACCUGGCUUUCUUCUGAGGAGUUAACCAGGCUCCGGCCACAACAGCAGCGGUGGCCUCCGAGCUGAAACCUCCACCUUGUUCAACAACAUCGUCAGCUCUCCUCUUCCUUCCUCCUUCAACUGGAUUUUCCACUGAGCACAGCUGCAAACCAAGUGUUUCCACAAACCCUGCAUGCCAAGACAUUGAGAAUGGUUGAAGACAAAGUCAUUUUUGGUAAUCCAGAUAGCUCUCAACACAGCAGCAAAGAUCAUAUUAAUGUUGCUAUUCUUUGUUUUAUCAACCCAGAGAGAAGAAAUGUCAUGCAUACUUAAAAUUCUAAAACAACGGUUGAAGUCACCAGGGCUGAGCACAUCCCUAAAACAACGGUUGAUCACACAUAUGAUGGGCAGGGGUAUGGUCUGAUUUUUAGGCUUGAAGAAGUGAAAGGAAAGGGGAAGAAAGAGGACGCGGAGAUGCAUGAUGUUGACCCAGAUGACGGUUCAAAAGAGGAGGAUGGAAAGAAUAAGGAGGCGCCAAAAAAAGAUGAUCCACCUCCUAAGGAGGGGCCUGCUACUUUAUCAUCUAGUGCUGCUGUUAUGCCGACAAAGCAGUCGACUGGUAUGUCUAAUCAGACGCAAGUUCUUUCCCUUCCAAGCAUGAAGGUAGGCCAGAUUGAUUGCCAGUUAUCCCCUAAGAUUGAAGUUCGAUUCUAGUCUCAAAAUAAAACAAACACUUUAGUUCCUCGCAAGCUGUGGGGCGGUAGCGAUGAUGAUGAGGAGGAGAGCCUCCCAUCGCCACUCCCUCGUUUGAUGAAUGAUGAGGACGUCGCUUUGGUGGCUGAUCAGGUUGGGUCUCUACCGUUGAAGGAGGUUUCGCCCGACAAUUUGGCCUCAUUCUCUGUAGUGCCAGGAAAAAGGCGAAGCUGCCUUCCAGUACGGUGUCGCUGCAGAUAAUCUAGCAAAUCCCUUUGCCGUGGUAGGAAUGAGCGAGGCUGUGCAAAACUGUGUCGCGGUAGAAGACUCAGUGGUUUUCUCUGCCGAGGCAGGUCUUUCUGCUGUGUCAACGGCUGGCGAUGUUGCACCUAAGAACUGCUCACCUAAUGUGUGCAAGUCCACUAGUAAAAAUAAAGUAAGCUCUUCUAGUGUUCUUCCCAAUUUAUCUCAAGGGCUCCACGGCAAGGUGGGCACAGGAGUUUUUCUUGGUGGCCGUUUUUCUAUGGAGGAUGUGGUAAAGUUCGGGGGCAUUUCCCCUCCAUCCAAAUAUUUACGUUCCAGUGAACGUAUUAGAGGCAACAUAAUGCGGAUGAUUCUCAAAUAGCUCGAGCGCAGCAGUUGGCACAGGCCAAGAACGUUGCCCAUUUCUCAGGUUAUCCCUCUGGUUGCGCAUUGGAUCCAUAUGUGGUCCUUUCUCCGACCUUCCAUGGACCGCCGGGACAUGGAUUACGGGUGC